rnacentral:rRNA from 1 species
CAAUAGCGUAUAUUAAUGUUGUUGCAGUUAAAAAGCUCGUAGUUGGAUUUCUGAUGGGAGCCCUGGUCACUCUAACGAGUGUACUGAUGUGGCGUCCUGUCGUUUCAUGGGGAUGCUUGCUGGUAUUAAGUUAUCGGCUUGUGGAUCCAUGUCGUUUACUGUGAAAAAAUUAGAGUGUUCAAAGCAGGCCAUCGCUGUGAAUACAUUAGCAUGGAAUAAUAAGAUAGGACUGUGGUGCUAUUUUGUUGGUUUGCGUACUACGGUAAUGAUUAAUAGGGAUAGUUGGGGGUAUUCAUAUUCAAUUGUCAGAGGUGAAAUUCUUGGAUUUAUGGAAGAUGAACUACUGCGAAAGCAUUUACCAAGGAUGUUUNCAUUAA